GCAUUCUAAGGUCUGUCUUCUUCAGCGUUAUAAUUUGCUUGUAGUAACUGAUUCCUUUAAUGAGCUAUAUGUGAUUGCCCUCUAGUUUACAUUUAUAUAAUUUUCGUUUUACAGGCACAUAAAUUCAGUAGAUACCAUUUUUUAUAUACUUGUCCUAAUGUCCUGUGAAUUUAUCUAUGGCAUCUAUGCAUAAUUUUAACAUGAAUUCUGUGCAUCCUAAUAAAUGAUAUUAAUGGUGAUGUUCAUAAUCAUCUUCUAUGCCAAAAAGAGUCGUAUAAUAAAUAAUAAACUCAACAUUCA
rnacentral:misc_RNA from 1 species